CAGAGAAACCUAUUGAAACAGCCAUGGUUUAACAAGAACAGAUGCAAGAGGUUUUUGUUUCCUGAAUACUAUGACAGCUGUCACUGUGAAUGUAGAGGAGGUAAACAUGAUAUGGAUGACACAUGUAUGAGACAGUAAACAAGGUAAAGUGGAUUGGCAUGAAGACUGUGGAUUUGGGCAGUCCAGUCAAGGCAGACAAUCACAAAGGGGAAGCAGAGGCCAUGUGAAGUUGCAGGGUCAAACAGUCUCAGGAUAUGGUCUGCAUGUUAGCACUGAGUCAUCCCCGGGGAUCCAGAAGAAUUCAUUUGGAGAAGAAAGCAGAAGAAGCUGCCCUGAGCCACCGCAAGUGAUCAAUCACAAUUACACUAGCAAGGAUGAACACUUAAGAGCCUGGUGCAAACCCCUGUGCUGCUGAAUGCUUCGACGAUGGUAUGCAAGAAAACAGGAAGGUCAUAUGGUGUUGGUGAAUGCUUCCAUACUCUGUGAUGGAGCUGUGGCUGUGACUGCCUGCACCAGCCUCCAGCAACACUUGUAUAUGAGGAAAAUGUGUUUUAUGUUUCAGGAGUCAGUCCUCCUGAGAUGGAGCCCCCAGCACAAGAAAUAAGUGGCCCUGUUGGAGAGAGUCUGGAGGAGGCCAUGAGGAUGCUCAGAAAGCUUAAGCACCUCUUCUUUGAAGGCUGAGGGAGCUGGACUUGUUCAGGUUGGGGAAGAGAAGUCUCUGUGGACACCUCAUUGUGGCCUUUCAGUGCUGAAAGAGAGCUUACAAGAAAGAUGGAGAGCAACUUUACAUGGACAUGUAGUGAUAAGACAAGGGCUUAUUCCUGCUUGGACAAAUGUUCCUUGUCAACUUCUUGAAAAAUAUGUGGACCAUACUGCAGGCUCUCUGUUGUCACAGCUAGCUGGUGGUGGUGUUCAGUCUAUCAUUUAAAGAAGGGCUGUUGGAGGAGGAGUUUGCUGAGGAUGGAGAGAUGGAUGCCCUGAGGCUCCCACUCAAGGAGAGAACAAUUUUGGAACUGGUUGUGAGAUCAUACCCAGAGAGUGGUGAUCGGUGGCUGAAUGUCUGGAUGGAAACCAAUGACAAGUGGUGUCCCUCAGCGGUCAGUACUUGGACUGACAUAACAUCUGUAUCAAAGACAUCAACAGUGAGUAUAUCCUCAGCAAGUCUGUGCGUGACACCAAGCCAUGUGGUACAGUUGAGAUGCCUGAGGGACAGGAUGCCAUCCAGAGAGACCUGGACAGGCUUGAGUAGUGGGCCCAGAAAAAUCUCAUGAGAAUCAACAAAUUCAAGUGCAAGGUCUUGCACCUGGGUUGUGGCAACCACUGCUAUCACUACAAGCUGGGGAAUGAAAGGAUGGAGUACGGCCCUGGUAAAAAGGACGUAGGGUACUGGUGGAUGGCAAGCUGGACAUGAGCCAGUAGUGUGUCAUUGCAGCCCAGAAAGCCAACUGUAUCCUGGGUUGCAUCCAAAGAAGUGCUGUCAGCAGGGAGAGGGAGGAGAUCCUGCCCCUCUACUCUGCACUGGUGAGGUCUCACCUGCACUAAUGCAUCCAGAUGCGGAGCCCUCAGUACAGGAGAAACACAGACCUGUUGGAGCACAUCCAGAGGA